AGUGCCUCGUUGACAGGGGAAACCCGCCCCUGUCAGCGAGGCAGAUGUGAUUGGACAGCGGAUCCAGUGCUGGAUCCACUCGUCCAAUCACCCGAAGAGGCAGCAGGACCCGGCGCCCAGCUCAGUUACAGUAGCGGGGUGAAGAGGCAGCGGGACCCGGAGUUGAAGCCAGGGCCGGCCGCGCAGACCGAGGAGGGUGCUGCUGUGGACCUACAUCGCCGCAGCCGCCCGUUAUGUCUGGAUGCCGAUGGGUGACGGGUGUCCUCUUGCUCCCAGCCCUCCCGCGAUGCUAGGGAACUGUGGAAGACAGUGGCGGAUUGCCGCUUCCCCCCCCCUCCUGUCGGAAAUGUGCCUUCAGCGGCGUGACCUCCCGCUCCCAGCCCUCCCGCGAUGACAGGGAACUGGGGGAGACAGUGGCGGAUUGCCGCUCCCCCCCUCCUGUCGGAAAUGUGCCUUCAGCGGUGUGACCUCCUGCUCCCAGCCCUCCUGCGAUGACAGGGAACUGGGGGAGACAGUGGCGGAUUGCCGCUCCCCCCCCUCCUGUUGGAAAUGUGCCUUCAGCGGUGUGACCUCCUGCUCCCAGCCCUCCCACGAUGACAGGGAACUGGGGGAGACAGUGGCGGAUUGCCGCCCCCCCCCCCCCCCCCUCCUGUCAUCUGGGAAAUGUGCCUUCAGCGGUGUGACCUCCUGCUCCCAGCCCUCCCGCGAUGACAGGGAACUGGUGGAGGCAGUGGUGGAUUGCCCUCCCCACUGUCGUCUGGGAAGGGUCCCGCGGUGCCACCAGUGCAUGAAAUCCAGCCCCAGCCCACAGUGUCAAUGUGCAAAAGGGGACCCUGAAGGGGCCAUGGCUGCCCGCUGCUGCACUACUGGAGCAGGUGCCGCUCACCGCCGCCAGCCGCCCACCGCUCACCGCCGCCCGUCGCCACCCGCAACAAAUGGCAGUCAGAGGGACCUCACCGCUGCUGCCCAUGGGUGCCUCCGCCGACCACAGUCAGAUCUUCUAUCAACCCAUAUCACCUGGGGAGGUCAGAAUUUGAUAGUUGGUGGGGACUUCAAUUUGGUCGUCAACCCAUCCAUGGACAGAUCCAGGAACACGCCGAUCACAGGGACUCGCAUCAGAGCGGCGCCUAGCAACCAUAGGAUGUGUAUGGGGGUUGCCUAGCAACCGCAGGGACAUGUGGAGCUGACGUCACACAUAUGCGACACGCCCCUUCCGUCCCGCUGACGGCGCCCCGGCUUCGGCGUGCAUCUGGAAAUGAGGAGGAGGGGGAGAUAUGGACGAUUCAGGGAUAUAAG